GACGAACGCUGGCGGCGUGCUUAACACAUGCAAGUCGAACGGAAAGGCCCUGCUUUUGUGGGGUGCUCGAGUGGCGAACGGGUGAGUAACACGUGAGUAACCUGCCCUUGACUUUGGGAUAACUUCAGGAAACUGGGGCUAAUACCGGAUAGGAGCUCCUGCUGCAUGGUGGGGGUUGGAAAGUUUCGGCGGUUGGGGAUGGACUCGCGGCUUAUCAGCUUGUUGGUGGGGUAGUGGCUUACCAAGGCUUUGACGGGUAGCCGGCCUGAGAGGGUGACCGGCCACAUUGGGACUGAGAUACGGCCCAGACUCCUACGGGAGGCAGCAGUGGGGAAUAUUGCACAAUGGGCGGAAGCCGGAUGCAGCAACGCCGCGUGCGGGAUAACGGCCUUCGGGUUGUAAACCGCUUUCGCCUGUGACGAAGCGUGAGUGACGGUAAUGGGUAAAGAAGCACCGGCUAACUACGUG
rnacentral:rRNA from 1 species